GCGCUGUGUGUGUGUGUGUGUGUGUGUGUGUUGACAUUCUGGCCUGCCUGAAGAUGUGAUGAGGUCGUAAGAAGCCGUCUGAAGCCUAUAAUUGCACUCUGCUGUAAUGUCAUCGGUGUUUAUUAUAUCCCUGGACUAAAGACCGCCAUCUAAUGUAAUGGUGUAAUUGAAGCAGGUCUGAAGAUGCUGCUCUCUUUGGGGAUGCUGAUGCUCUCUGCCACACAGAUUUACACCAUUUUCACGGUUCAGAUAUUUGCCUUCCUCAACCUCCUGCCCGUGGAGGCCGACAUAUCCGCUUAUUCAUUCGACAAUAAGACGGAGAACUUUGAUGAUUUGCCAGCUCGAUUUGGCUACAGGCUGCCCAGUGAAGGACUGAAGGUGAGU